rnacentral:rRNA from 1 species
ACGGAGGGUGCGAGCGUUAAUCGGAAUCACUGGGCGUAAAGCGCACGUAGGCGGUGUCGUAAGUCGGAUGUGAAAGCCCUCGGCUCAACCGGGGAACUGCAUUCGAUACUGCGCAGCUUGAGUGCCCAACAUGGUCAAGGACAUCCAGAUGAACGACCGCACCCGAAACAUCUCCGGAGGCGCCACAAUGGCGAAGGCUGCCACCUGCCCGGAAACUAACGCUGCGGUGCCACAGAGUGUGCAUCAACUAG